rnacentral:misc_RNA from 1 species
UUUCCGUAGGUGAACCUGCGGAAGGAUCAUUAACACGAAUUAUUUAUUAUCCAAUAUCAAAAACCAAACGUGAACCUUUUCCCUCCCUAUAUAUAUAUAUAUAGGCUAACCUCAUUUAAUUAAUUUUUAACACUUUAAACCUUAACUAGUUUUAAUGUAGCCAUUAAAACAUCUAAACUAAAAAAGACAAGGUUAUUCGAAAGAGUAAACUUUAACUUUUUUCGAUUUACGAAAAAUUCAAAAGAACAACUCUUAACAAUGGAUAUCUUGGUUCUC